CAGCAGCCGCGGUAACACGGAGGGUGCAAGCGUUAAUCGGAAUUACUGGGCGUAAAGCGCACGCAGGCGGUUUGUUAAGACAGAUGUGAAAUCCCCGGGCUCAACCUGGGAACUGCAUUUGUGACUGGCAAGCUAGAGUCUGGCAGAGGGGGGUGGAAUUCCGCGUGUAGCAGUGAAGUGCGUAGAUAUGCGGAGGAACACCGAUGGCGAAGGCAGCCCCCUGGGCCAACACUGACGCUCAUGCACGAAAGCGUGGGGAGCAAACAGGAUUAGAUACCCGCGUAGUCCCUGUCUCUUAUAC
rnacentral:rRNA from 1 species